CAAAUUCUCCUAAGGAGACUCCUGGGUCCCACUGGUACCAGCUUAGAACCUACAGAAGAAUAUACAAAAGUGUAGUAUCACUACAAGAAACCUUUUGUAGGCCUAGUUUUUUCUUUUUCUUUUUGUAUAUUAAAAAAUAAAUAAAUUUUAAGAUGAUACAACAAUCACAUAUUCAACUUGAUUCUACAAAUGUCAUACUACACAAAUUAAACUUAAAUUCAAAGCACUAACAUAUCUGCUUUGAAGUCUCAUACACACCAUCCAAUAAUAGUUCUAGUACAUGAUAAAAGGUUCCUUAAUACAUCUUCAAAACAAACAAAGAACACUAUCUGAAAAUCAAGUCAAGAUGUCAGACAGACAACUACAAGAACACUCAUUCUUUACUGGUCUUCUGGUGAACCUUCAUGCAGAACAGAAACCGGUAUCUAUAUACCCUCUUCACCAGACUCUACAUUGGUUUUUUGCUUAGUCAUAGUGAGCCUUCAUCUACAGAGGGAACUGGAAUCUCUAUGGAGGCACUUUUUCACCAAACAUACUCUUAAUUUUUGCAUAUGACCUAUGAUGAAGAAAAUGAGAGAAAAGUUUCUGGCAGUAAGUCAAAAGUAAAGAUGUAAAAUAGUCUCUAACAGUUAGCAAAUAAUUUUUAUACUUGAUACAAGAAAUGAACUACAUGCAACUCCCUCGUCAAAUAAAAAUGUGAUUAGCACUAAUAACAAGAAAAGUACCUUUAGUCACAUGAGGAGAGUGGAUUCUAUGUCUCAUAGUGGCGGUCACGGGCUCAAUUCUUAACCUUCAGUAAAGAAGAUAACAACUCACAUUAAACACUAAGCAACAAUCCAUACCUGUUCAUGGAUACAUGAAAAGAAAAGAUCCACGACAAUGAUACCAAAAUCUCCUAGACGUGUUUUCUCUAUACAAGAGCAAAAGCAUACUAUUCCUAAUAAAAGAACUCAACCAUUCCCAAGCAAACCAAGUGAAAUUCUCAUAAUUUAAUUGGGUUAAUAUAUAUAAUAAACAGCUCAUAAUUGAAUCAAUCUCCUCUGUUUUUGCACUACCUUUAUUAAUCAAGUUUCACUAUAGCAAAUAAUAUUGUGUUUAGAUUCAAAGAGUAUUAAAAUAUUCUAGCAGUAAAUAAAGGUAAAUUGAAGCAUUCUCUACCAAUAACCAAGAAGAAACAACACUAAGUUCCUUCUUAAAUUAGGAAUGACUAAACAACAUAUUAAUAGUAUAAAAAAUCAUCUAAAAGUAACAGGGUGAAAGGCUUACCAUAACAACCACUAUGAUAUAGCAAUCCAAUAUCCAAUGUCUGCUUUUGUAGAAUUUUAAAGGCUACAAAAAUACAAUACUAAUAUUUACUGGGGAUUCUCAAGCAGGUUGUAAAUACCCAAUUUACAGCGGGAGUUUCUGGGCUACAAACUAGCAAAGUAUACUAAUCUACAACUGCAAUUAUAUAUAUUCAUGGACAUGUCUUGUAUUAUAGAAAUAAUGACUUGAAUUUCAAACAUAUACAAUCACUAAUCUAAAGAGCAAAAAUAACUUGAUGAAGAACAAAUUGCUCAACUUUAGAAUAAAAAUCCUAAUCCCCUUUAUUCAUAGAAGACUUAUGGUGGUAAUAACUUUAUACAAAUAAAUUAUUGCAAUAAUACCAAAUUUAUUUCACUUGAACUAAAGAAUAAGGCAGAUUUAUCGAUUAAGAGCCAGAAUGUGCAAAGAGCAAAAGAAAACUUCUGAUUAGCUUCAUAUUUGGGUCUCAAUUCUUUCUCCUUAGUUUGUAAAUCAUUUGAGGAGAGAAUUGAGGGUCCUCUAGGGUUUCGCUUCUCGUGAGAUUGGAUAAAAUAAGGUGACAAAGACGAGAUUGGUUACCAACAGAUGUCGGGGGAUGAGCGGCGAUCUGUCGUUCCACAUGCUUGGAUCUCGGCAGACGGAGAAGAAGGUGACUGGUCGGCGUUGGGAUAACUCGAAAUUGAAAUUUAGUUCUACUAUUUACUACUACUUUAUUUCUUUAUUUUUGUAGUUAAAUCCCAACUCUUAAUUAUAAAAGUCGUUUAACUCUGACUAAUAUUGUGACAUUUAAAUCAAAAGUCACAAAAUUUUAUGACAGUCUUUAUUAACAGUCUCA
rnacentral:lncRNA from 1 species